UCAGCCCUGCUUGAGCUCCUGUCCUGACUUCCUCCAAUGAUGAACAGUGAUGUAGAAGGCUUUAGAACCCAGAAGGGACUAAGUGAGGAAGUACAGGCACCAGCAGGGCCUGGCAGUAUGAGACCUCAAGUGACAACUCCGUACGUGCUGCGGGUAACGGUGACAACUGUUGAUUAGAUAUGAUCGGCAGAACUGUUGUGCAUUCCUUUGCCCUCUGGUGGGAGACAGCAAGACCUAUUUUAAGAAAGUGAAGACAGCAACGGUGCAAAGAAAUAGUCACACCGAUACAGGACUGGAUGGGAGGCUGGACAACUGCCCUAGAUGCCAGUAUCUAAAGAAUACUUUCAAGACCAAGGAAGAAGCAUGAUGCUGGGCCAGUGCAACCCACAUCCACACGUGGAAGCAGUGGAAGCGGAGCGCGGCCUUCCUCCAGUGAAGUACACUGUGUCUCAGAGCAAGCAAAAGCACAGCCUCCCAACAGCCACCUCCCACCAGCUCUAAGUCACUUCCAAAGGCACUGAGAUGCUGCAAGACCUGACCUUGAAAUGAUGAAUAGACCCAACCUUAAACAUAUAGGUGGAAAUCUCAGCUGGAGAUAUUGCAUAAGGACACCAGGCAGAGGCAUCAUGGGAGAUGGGCCUAAGCAAGGAAACUUCUGUGAUUUGAGGUCAAUUAAACACUUUCCUGUUGGGCCCUGUUGAAGAUCAGAGACCUGACCUCAUGGCUGGUCUGCAUCCACGUUAAAGACAUGCUCUCCGAAGAAAGGCCUUCCCAAGGACCUGCCUUUCUGAAGCCUUCUCCAGUCAUCCUCUGCAAACUCUGCACAGAACUGAGCACUGCAGGACAGACAAAUGGGUGAAGGUGAAAGAAGAGCUGUUUGCUGUCUAUAGUUUCUAAGCAUCUUGAAUAACUGAAGGGUUAAACGAGGAGUCAUCACCCAAACAAAGUAUUUGGGCUCCAGCUUUCACAAUUUAAUGUAGCUCUAGUUGUUCUAGCCCUUUAAAUGUGGAGAUUUGUUGGGCUGGGAGCAUGGCUCAGUGGUAGAUGCCAGCAUGUGCAAUGAUGCCCUUGGUUCAAUCCCAUGCACAAUAAGAAAAGAUAAUCAGAAAUGUCAUUAUCUUUUUUAUUCCUGCUUGAGGGGAACAAAUCUAUAUAGAUAUUCACAGCCAAAAUAAAUACAAAUUUAAAUCCUA